rnacentral:lncRNA from 1 species
GUGAAAUGCACAUCUGCUUGAAUGGGUCUUCCCAUUACUUCCUAAAGAAGGAAUGAUAUCCCACUGUAUUCACUUGCCCUAUUUAAUAGAUUUUUUUUCAUGACCUUUGAAUUGCUUCUACUUCUUGUAAAUAGUACUGCCAUGAAUUUAAACAUAAAAUUGUUAGCUCUUGUAGAUCUGAUUUAAAUUCUUUUGAUAUAUAUCUGAAAGUGAUAUUGCUGGAUUAUAGAGAAUUUAAUAUUUGUUUUACCAUAUAUCUAUAUAUGUGAUUGUAUAAGUUCACAUGUGUAUGGAUACUAGAAAACAAUUUCUAAUGUCAGUCCUCAGAAACAAUGGCUUUCAUUGGCCUGAUGCUCACUAAAUAGUCUUAAGAGUGGCUGGUUAGAGCCCCUGGGAUUUGCCUGUUUCUGUCUCCUGAAUGUUGGUAUGCAUACCACCUCCUUGACUUUAUUAUGUGGGUUCUGGAGAUCAGACUCAAGUACUCAUGCUUUCUUGGCAAGCUCUUUAUGAUUGAACUAUUUUCCCUAGCAUUCUAUUUUUAAUUUUUAGUUUUUAAAGAACUUUCAUGAUAUCAUGUUUCUCAAAGUAAUUGUGUGAUUUUAUUUCCACCAACAGAGAAGCAUUCCAGUUUUUUAACAUCCUUGCCAAACACAUGUUUUCUGGUUUUGUCUUGUGGAUUUAGUUUGGAGAUGGGGUCUGUGUAACCCUGCUUGGCCUAUCUCUGCCUCCUGAGUGCUGACGUUAAAACAAGCAAACUCAUGCUUGGCCUAGUUUUCUGCUUUGGUUGUUUGUAUUUAAAACUCUUCGCACCUGUGGUGCUGAGGAUCUAACUUAGGGUCUCAUACUUGCUGGACAAGGACUCUACCACUGGCCUCUAUCCACCGUCCCCAUACCCAGCUCUGUUGUAUACAUGGGACUGGGUGGGUAGUUGUUGAGCUCUGAUCCGCAUGCUUGUGUGGCAAGUACUUUAAAUGAUGGAGCUAAAAACUCCAUGAUCCCAACUUUUUGAGUUUUUGAUAUGAGAUAUUUCUCAAAGGGUGAGAGAGGUCUCCUUUUAGAUAUGGAACGACUGGUGAAGUGAGCAUUUAGGAGAAAUGCUCUUGAAUGUAAUUAAUUCUUUCCAGGCUUUAAUUCUUUAUUGAGAAUAUUGAAGCAAUGAUUAAAAUAUCAUUUGGAAAGUUGAGAUGGGACAUUUUAAUAAAGGUCUGAAAACUUUCCUAGCUCUGAGACCUUAAUAAAGGCAGUUGGCUAUGUUUCAUCCCCUUCUUACACCCUGCCUCCCAAAUUUGCAUUUAUUGAUUUAUCCCGUGAAACUUACCAUCAUUGAAUUAACUCUAGAUUUAUGAAAUUUACAGUUAUUAUUUAAUCUGAACCAGUCAACUCCUCGCCUUUGUAGUCAGAUGCUUGUCCUUGUUGUUCUCAUGCUUCAUUACCUCUCUUACAGCCUGCCUACUGAUGUCAUGGUCACUGUGUUCAAGGUGGGAGCGAGAACCGAGAAAGGCUGGUUGUUCCUCUUUAGCAUGUAUUCCUCCAUGGGCUCUGAAGCAGAAAAGAAUAAAAUUCUUGAAGCUCUUGCCAGCUCAGAGGAUGUACAUAAACUUUACUGGUAUGGAACCACUCAAAGAACAUGAUAGAAAGAAACCAAAAAUAAAAGUACUUUGCUGUUUAGAGCAGGAGGCCAUUUUCUCUUAAGUUCUACCUCUGACAGCCUCCUGACUUGGACAUUAGGUGAGGAGUUUCCAUGAGCUAGACUUCCUCUUGGGACUGAACCUUAACAGAUAUACAGAAUACACUUGGUUUGAGAGAUGUGAAGACGUCAGAAAUGACAAACUCCUUGUGUGCCCUGCUGGGAAAUGCCCUCCCUUGGCAUGAUGUUCUAAACUCCGCUAGGACUAGACAGUGACCUGUUCUGUCACUUUGAAAAUACAAACAAUUCAGAAAAAUAUCUAACUAUACAACUAUAGAAGUGUGUAUAGUCUACUUUUCUAUGAAUUUAUUGCUUAUACAUCUUAAUGUCCAACUACAUGGCCUAGAAACAGGAGCUACUUGUGGGUGGAAAAAGGCAGUAAGACCUAACAGAGAAUAGGAUCAGGCAGAGUAAAGGUUCAAGUGACCAGAAGAAAUUCAAAGGUGCAUGCAACUUAGGACAUUGAAAAACAUACAGAGGGUAGAGGGAACAUCUUAACCUGUUGUUUCUGUAAGAUAAAUUUGCUCAGCUAAAUCCUAACAGUCUCCCAGAGACGUCCUUGGGCCUCCCCAGACCCACUUUGUUUUUUCUUUUCUUUUUUUUUUUAAAGAUUUAUUUUAUUUAAUAUAUGUAAGUACACUGUAGCUAUCUUCAGACACCAGAAGGGGGAAUCAGGUCUUGUUACAGAUGGUUGUGAGCCACCAUGUGGUUGCUGGG